GUCCCGGUAGCUCAGCAGGCUAGAGCUGCGUUUUCCUAAACCGCAGGUCGGGGAUUCGAGUCCCUUCCGGGACGCCA
rnacentral:tRNA from 1 species